CGAACGCGAAAGCGGGGGCAACUCCGCAAGUAGAGUGGCGAACGGGUGAGUAAUACAUCGGAACGUGUCCAGUAGCGGGGGAUAACCUCUCGAAAGAGAGGCUAAUACCGCAUACGACCUACGGGUGAAAGAGGGGGAUCGCAAGACCUCUCACUAUUGGAGCGGCCGAUGUCGGAUUAGCUAGUUGGUGGGGUAAAGGCUUACCAAGGCGACGAUCCGUAGCUGGUCUGAGAGGACGACCAGCCACACUGGAACUGAGACACGGUCCAGACUCCUACGGGAGGCAGCAGUGGGGAAUUUUGGACAAUGGGGGAAACCCUGAUCCAGCCAUGCCGCGUGGGUGAAGAAGGCCUUCGGGUUGUAAAGCCCUUUCGGUGGGGACGAAACGGUGCGUGCUAACACCACGCACUACUGACGGUACCCACAGAAGAAGCACCGGCUAACUACGUGCCAGCAGCCGCGGUAAUACGUAGGGUGCAGGCGUUAAUCGGAAUUACUGGGCGUAAAGCGUGCGCAGGCGGUUUGCUAAGACAGGUGUGAAAUCCCCGGGCUUAACCUGGGAACUGCGCUUG
rnacentral:rRNA from 1 species